GCUUUUAAUUGGGGUCUGGAAUGAAGGGUUGAUUUUAAGGAGAAUGUUUUAUUUAAAAAUUUUGAAUUUAAGUUAAAAGUAAAAAUGCUUUUAUGUAUUCUUGGGACAAGAAGACCCUAAAAGUUUAUUUUAAUGAUUUUGGUUGGGGUAACGGUUGAAGAAGAAUAUUUUUAAUGUAUAUGUAUAGAUGAUUAUAGUUAAAUUACUUUAGGGAUAACAGCGUUAUUUAAUUGAUAAGUUCUUAUUAAUAAUUAAGUUUGCGACCUCGAUGUUGAAUUAAAUUUUGGUAUAGUGAAGGAGCUAUAUAUAGUUAGUCUGUUCGACUAUGAAAAAUUUACGUGAUCUGAGUUCAGACCGGA
rnacentral:rRNA from 1 species